UGCGGCUUAAUUUGACUCAACACGGGAAACCUCACCUGGUCCGGACACUGGAAGGAUUGACAGAUUGAAAGCUCUUUCUUGAUUCAGUGGGUGGUGGUGCAUGGCCGUUCUUAGUUGGUGGAGUGAUUUGUCUGGUUAAUUCCGAUAACGAACGAGACUCUAGCCUGCUAACUAGUUCGCCGACAGCUCGUUGUCGCGCGGCGCCGCUUCGGCGGCAAACUUCUUAGAGGGACAGGUGGCGUUUAGCCACACGAAGUAGAGCAAUAACAGGUCUGUGAUGCCCUUAGAUGUCCGGGGCCGCACGCGCGCUACACUGAAAGAAUCAACGUGGAUGCCCACCUGCUCCGAGAGGAGUGGGAAACCCGAUGAAUCUCUUUCGUGAUGGGGAUUGGGGCUUGUAAUUGUUCCCCAUGAACGAGGAAUUCCCAGUAAGCGUCAGUCAUUAGCUGGCGUUGAUUACGUCCCUGCCCUUUGUACACACCGCCCGUCGCUACUACCGAUUGAAUGGUUUANUGAGACCCUCGGACUGGAGUCCGUCUGCCGCUUUCGGGUGGUGGACGGGGACGGAAAGACGGUCGAACUUGAUCAUUUAGAGGAAGUAA
rnacentral:rRNA from 1 species